GAUGAACGCUGGCGGCGUGCCUCAGACAUGCAAGUCGAACGCGAAAGUCUCCUUCGGGGGGCGAGUAGAGUGGCGCACGGGUGAGUAACACGUAGGUAAUCUACCUUUGGAUGGGGAAUAACAAUCGGAAACGAUUGCUAAUACCGCAUAAUGCAGCGGCACCUAAUGGUGACAGUUGUUAAAGCGGGGGAUCGAAAGACCUCGCGUCUAAAGAGGAGCCUGCGGCGGAUUAGCUAGUUGAUAAGGUAAUGGCUUACCAAGGCUACGAUCCGUAACCGGCCUGAGAGGGCGGUCGGUCACACUGACACUGACAUACGGGUCAGACUCCUACGGGAGGCAGCAGUCGGGAAUUUUUGGGCAAUGGGCGAAAGCCUGACCCAGCAACGCCGCGUGAAGGGAUGGAAAUCCCUCGGGAUGUAAACUUCGCAAGAAUGAGAAGAAUAAGUAGGGGACAA
rnacentral:rRNA from 1 species